CAAGAGGUAAUUUAAUUAGAAUGUUGGCUUUGGGGGCCUAUUGCAGGGGUUUAACUCCCUUCUUCUUGA
rnacentral:tRNA from 1 species